rfam:Yarrowia lipolytica strain CLIB122 chromosome D complete sequence.
GCCUGGCUAGCUCAAUCGGUAGAGCGUGAGACUCUUAUUAGUAAGUAAUCUCAAGGCUGUGGGUUCAAGCCCCACGUCGGGCU